rnacentral:rRNA from 1 species
UACGUAGGGUGCAAGCGUUGUCCGGAAUUAUUGGGCGUAAAGAGCUUGUAGGCGGUUUGUCGCGUCUGCUGUGAAAUUGCGGGGCUCAACCCCGAACUUGCAGUGGGUACGGGCAGACUAGAGUGUGGUAGGGGAGACUGGAAUUCCUGGUGUAGCGGUGAAAUGCGCAGAUAUCAGGAGGAACACCGGUGGCGAAGGCAGGUCUCUGGGCCAUAACUGACGCUGAGAAGCGAAAGCAUGGGGAGCGAACAGG